UACGGGGGGGGCAAGCGUUGUUCGGAUUUACUGGGCGUAAAGGGCGCGUAGGCGGCUUAACAAGUCACUUGUGAAAUCUCCGGGCUUAACUCGGAACGGCCAAGUGAAACUGUCAAGCUAGAGUGCGGAAGGGGCAAUCGGAAUUCUUGGUGUAGCGGUGAAAUGCGUAGAUAUCAAGAGGAACACCUGAGGUGAAGACGGGUUGCUGGGCCGACACUGACGCUGAUGCGCGAAAGCCAGGGGAGCAAACGGG
rnacentral:rRNA from 1 species